CAAAAUUUUAAUUCUUCAUUUUUUUUUCAAUAUUGAACAGUAUGUGACCCUGACCCAUAUUCGUUUGAUACCCUUAACGCCAUCUAGCGAGCUCAGUCGAUAACAACAUGGUCCGGGUUGCUAGAUUAAAAAUAAUUUCGGUGCCUUCCUACAUUUUUGGUUUUUUUAAUCGCAGGUCGUUGUAAAUUAAAAUUGUCUUCAAAUAUUUUUUUUAUUCGUCGGCGCGUUGUAUUCAAUAUUAUUCUAAGCAAACUAAAUAGGAAAGAAAGCGUUUUUUUUUGUCAAGUCAUGUGGUGUUCGGCCGAGCCCCGUUCGGACUCUGGUAACCCCGUCGUUUGAUCUGUCACCGAUGGCUCGCCACGUAGCUAGCCGUUCUUUUUGGAUUUGGAAGAGAUCGUAGCAAGGUGGUUCGUUUCCUUUGCCCAGCGGCCUGGUGCUGUCUGAUGGCUUCUACCUAUAUCGCGGUUUAAGCCGCCUAAUCGUAAGUAGCUAGUCGAUUCCUUAAUUGUUUUGGAUGGAUUUGUUAGUGCAGUGCUGAUUGUUUUUAUAUUAUUGCAGCUCGUUGGAUGUGAAUCGUCCUGGAAAUUGAAGCCCCGGGUGCAUUGAAAUUAUGCAAGUCCUUUCCUACGCCCGCUUAUUGUCUGCCCCGGGGUUUCAAGAUUUACCGUCUUUAUUACAAGUUUACGGGGUGGCCUCAAGAUGCCAGCUUCUACAAGCCGAGCUACCAGUGGCAAGGAGCUGUGCCUGGCGUUUCCAUACUUCCACGCAGAGGUUCCUGACCAACGUGGCGGUUGUAUUGUUUACGGUCUUUCGAAGUUUUGGAGGUUAGAUCGACCCUUUAUCUAAUAUGUAUUACUGAACCAGAGAUGCUGGUUCUGGCGCCCUCAUACCCUUAGUAACUUUUAAGUUUGUCCGUCAGUAGGCCGCUUCUACCAAAACAUUUUAAAAAAGAGUUCGCUAUACCCAUAACUGUUCCCUCAACACUUAAAUAAGAGUCUGAUGCUCAUGUUAUUUAGAUAAGAGCUAGUUUACCUUAAGUUCCUGUCAUUAAGGCCCUUAAGGCUCUCCGGGUUAGUUUUGAAAUUAUUUAAAUAAAUGUUUUAUUCAUA